rnacentral:rRNA from 1 species
GUAGGUGGCAAGCGUUGUCCGGAAUUAUUGGGCGUAAAGCGCGCGCAGGUGGUUCUUUAAGUCUGAUGUGAAAGCCCCCGGCUCAACCGGGGAGGGUCAUUGGAAACUGGGGAACUUGAGUGCAGGAGAGGAAAGUGGAAUUCCAUGUGCAGCGGUGAAAUGCGUAGAUAUGUGGAGGAACACCAGUGGCGAAGGCGACUUUCUGGCCUGUAACUGACACUGAGGCGCGAAAGCGUGGGGGAGCAAACAGGAUUAGAUACCCUGGUAGUCCACGCCGUAAACGAUGAGUGCUAAGUGUUGGGGGGUUUUCCGCCCCUCAGUGCUGCAGCUAACGCAUUAAGCACUCCGCCUGGGGAGUACGGUCGCAAGACUG